GUAGGUGGCAAGCGUUGUCCGGAAUUAUUGGGCGUAAAGCGCGCGCAGGCGGUUCUUUAAGUCUGAUGUGAAAGCCCACGGGCUCAACCGUGGAGGGUCAUUGGAAACUGGAGAACUUGAGUACAGAAGAGGAAAGCGGAAUUCCACGUGUAGCGGUGAAAUGCGUAGAGAUGUGGAGGAACACCAGUGGCGAAGGCGGCUUUCUGGUCUGUAACUGACGCUGAGGCGCGAAAGCGUGGGGAGCAAACAGGAUUAGAUACCCUGGUAGUCCACGCCGUAAACGAUGAGCGCUAAGUGUUAGGGGGUUUCCGCCCCUUAGUGCUGCAGCUAACGCAUUAAGCACUCCGCCUGGGGAGUACGGCCGCAAAGGCUG
rnacentral:rRNA from 1 species